CUGUGGACGAGGUGAAGGUAAGCUGUCCUCAGAGGCAUGAUAAGGGACUCAGCCGCCAUCAGAGCCCUGUGUUGAUCAUGGUGUCGGCUUUAUGUCUUCCUGAUACAGAAUAUAUAAAUACAGAAGGAAGGAUAAAAUGAGGCAGUCCUUCUAAGCCCAACAUAAUGAUGGAUGCAGCAUUGCACGGACUUCUUCAUAUCCAAAUGGCUCGGGGAGGGCAGGGCACACACAACGCCUUGACGUCGGUCCCGUCUCUCUCCCCGAGGCUGCGGUUUGCCCUUCUCACUGGAGCCGAGCAUCUGGGACACAGGGCUCCCAGGAGCUCUCCGGUGGACCCACUCAGCCCGUCUCAACGACCAAGCCUUCACUGUCUGCAUGUUUCAUUAACUUGGGGCCACUCUCACUGACUGGCUGCAGCAUGUUUCUUAAUAUUUUGGGGCUGAUUUUCAAAAAGCAUCUUUGCAGUAUUGAAACAAAUCAAACAUAACCAAGUCAACACAACCAUAUCUUGGCCAUACUCAUUGGAAACCUCAGUUGUAAACAAAAGGCUAUACUCUGGGCAGUAUGUUCCCACAAGCUCCAGAAAAGUAACCUGAAAUACACCAACCUAUAAAUAAACCACAAGGCUGAGUUUGCCCAAGAACAUUUUGCAAGGUAGUGAAAUAAUGAAAAAUAAACAUGUUUCCCAAUCAGCCCUUUUUCCCCCACAGGAAGGGAGGUAGUGGUGGAGAUAUGUUCUGGAAAUCAAGCAUAAACCACGGGUUUAAGUCUGCCAAGGUAGAGAAGUGGGAACAACUCAAGGAUCUUUAUUUAGUAAGUUCGGGUUGAACUCUUCUGCUGGUUGACAUCUUCUCCCCACCCCCCAUUUUUUCAUUAUCUCUUUCCUAUUCUGAUGUGCUCACAGCUUAUGUUUUUUUGUUGACUGGAACACAAUGAUUUUGGUUCUUAAUGUGUAUUGGAAGUGGGUUAUAAAAAAUUUAAGACACUCAACCUCUUUUCCCCUACCUAGUUGUUGCUUACAAUGAAUCUCUUUUCAAUGAAUAUCUAAUGAAGGUAGCUGUUAAAUAAAAAUGAAUGUUAUAU